UUACGGCCAUAUCACGUUGAAACACCGGUUCUCGUCAGAUCACUGAAGUUAAGCAACGUUGAGCCUGUUCAGUACCUAGGUGGGUGACCGCUCUGAAGUACUAGGCGU
rnacentral:rRNA from 1 species